CCUGGUGACCACGGCGGAGGGGAACCACCCGAUUCCAUUCCGAACUCGGAAGUUAAGACCUCCAGCGCCGAUGAUACUGCAAGU
rnacentral:rRNA from 2 species